rnacentral:lncRNA from 13 species
ACACACACAUGCAUACCACACACAUUCAUAACAUACACUCACACCACACACACACAUGCAUACCACACACACCACACAUACACACACUCACACCACACAUUCAUACCACACACACUCAUACCAUACACACGCUCACACACACAAUAUUACAUCCCCCCACACACAUAUACCACACACACUACACAUACACUCACACCACACAUAUUCAUACCACACACACUCAUACCAUACACACGCUCACACACACAAUAUCACAUCCCCCCACACACACAUACCACACACACUACACAUACACUCACACCACACAUAUUCAUACCACACACACUCAUACCAUACACACGCUCACACACACAAUAUCACAUCCCCCCACACACAUAUACCACACACACUACAAUACACUCACACCACACAUAUUCAUACCACACACACUCAUACCAUACACCCACACACACCAUAUCACAUCCCACACACUCACACACACAUCCCACACACACCACACAUGCACUCAUACUUCAUACAUGUGCACACACACAUUUACACGCCACAUACACACACUCACAUAACAUACACACAGACACCACACACAUACCGCACACACAUUCACACUCACACCACACACAUUCACACGUGCGCACACCAAACACAUACACACUCAAGGGCACACACACCACAUUCACAAACACACCACAUACGCACACACCACAUACACAUAUGCACACACAGGCACACACCACAUGCUGGCUCUCACACUCACACAGCCUGCUCUCCUGUGUCUUCAUGGCUCCGUCCAGGCUGCCCCCUCCGCCUGGGAGCGCUCUUCUGCCCUGCGGCUGAGUGGUCUCACUGCCCCUGUGGGUUUCUCAGCCCCACCCACGCAGCUUCUCGGUGACCCGCUGGCUGCGCAGGCUGGCAGGACUCACACACACAUUUCUGUCCCUGAGAAGUGUCAACAGUCACAUAAUGAGCUUUUGCACUUUGACUGGUUUAUUUGACUUCAAAUGCUGAAAAUUUCAGAAAAGACCUGAUGUCACCUCAGCAGCAAAGUGUCAGAAGCAGGAGCCCCUCCCACCUCCAUUUCUUCCUUUCCCUGGUGUAAGAAGCAGGGGCCUCCCACCUCCAUUUCUUCCUUUCCCUGGUGUAAGAAGCAGGGGCCUCCCACCUCCAUUUCUUCCUUUCCC